AACGAACGCUGGCGGCAGGCUUAACACAUGCAAGUCGAACGCAUCGCAAGAUGAGUGGCAGACGGGUGAGUAACGCGUGGGAACAUACCCUUUUCUACGGAAUAGCUCUGGGAAACUGGAAUUAAUACCGUAUACGCCCUACGGGGGCACGAUUUAUCGGGGAAGGAUUGGCCCGCGUUGGAUUAGCUAGUUGGUGGGGUAAAGGCCUACCAAGGCGACGAUCCAUAGCUGGUCUGAGAGGAUGAUCAGCCACAUUGGGACUGAGACACGGCCCAAACUCCUACGGGAGGCAGCAGUGGGGAAUAUUGGACAAUGGGCGCAAGCCUGAUCCAGCCAUGCCGCGUGAGUGAUGAAGGCCUUAGGGUUGUAAAGCUCUUUCACCGAUGAAGAUAAUGACGGUAGUCGGAGAAGAAGCCCCGGCUAACUUCGUGCCAGCAGCCGCCGUAAUAC
rnacentral:rRNA from 1 species